GCGUGUGUGAGGUGCGGCGCGUCGUCUGUGAGGUGCGGCGCAGGGUCUGUGAGGUGAGGUGCGGCGCGGCGUCUGUGAGGUGAGGUGCGGCGCGUCGUCUGUGAGGUGCGGCGCAGGGUCUGUGAGGUGAGGUGCGGCGCGGCGUCUGUGAGGUGCGGCGCAGGGUCUGUGAGGUGAGGUGCGGCGCGGCGUCUGUGAGGUGCGGCGCAGGGUCUGUGAGGUGCGGCGUAGCGUGUGUGAGGUGCGGCGCGUCUGUGAGGUGAGGUGCGGCGCGGCGUGUGUGAGGUGAGGUGCGGGGCAGGGCCUGUGAGGUGCGGCGCAGGGUCUGUGAGGUGAGGUGCGGCGCGGCGUGUGUGAGGUGCGGCGCGUCGUCUGUGAGGUGCGGCGCAGGGUCUGUGAGGUGAGGUGCGGCGCGGCGUCUGUGAGGUGAGGUGCGGCGCGUCGUCUGUGAGGUGCGGCGCAGGGUCUGUGAGGUGAGGUGCGGCGCGGCGUCUGUGAGGUGCGGCGCAGGGUCUGUGAGGUGCGGCGUAGCGUGUGUGAGGUGCGGCGCGUCUGUGAGGUGAGGUGCGGCGCGGCGUGUGUGAGGUGAGGUGCGGGGCAGGGCCUGUGAGGUGCGGCGCAGGGUCUGUGAGGUGCGGCGCGGCGUCUGUGAGGUGAGGUGCUGCGGUGAGUCUGUGAGGUGAGGUGCGGCGCAGGGUCUGUGAGGUGCGGCGCGGCGUCUGUGAGGUGCAAAGGCCACUUAGUGUGUGGCCUUAGUUAAUUUUUUGUUUUCAAUUUUCUGUCCCUCAUUUUAGUGAUCUGUAAAAGGAGCAUAAUCAUAAGCGUCUCUUCUUCUUAGGUUACUUGUGAGGCUUAAGUGAAGUACUAUGUGUUAACUAGUAUGAAACUAUAGCCUCGCUCUCUGGAGGAAAUAGCGUAAUGAUAGUGCUGUGUACAGGGUGCAACGUAACAGGAGGCAAAAACAGAGGUGGAUACAUGCAGAGAAGUCUUUGGGUGGUCUUGACACUAGAGCUGAAUUUCAAGGAAGAUGAGAAUUUGUUAGAUGAAGGGACCUGAGAACAGGAACAAGUGUUCACCAAGACCGGUCUCUGUGAACACACAGAGGCAGAAAUGCCAAAACUUGCAAAGUGGCAGGAAACUCCAUUCUGCUGGAGAAAGCGUACACAUGGAGGGAGUGAAAGGAGGUAACAGUGGAGAGGUCUGAGCAAAUUUAGGCUGCCUUCAAGAAGGCAGGAGUUUCCUGUGAAGAAAAUUGACUGAUACAGAUUUGUGUUUUAGAAAAGUCUGUCGGCAGCUGGGAAGGUGAAGGGGAGGUGUCACCAGAUGCAAUAAAAUUGGUUAGUGGGAUUUAGCCAUUGUUUUAAAGAGUGAUGAUGGUAAGGGGAGUGUGGAGAGAGAGAACUUAUUGGAAGUUGGUUAUAUAGAUGGGACAUGUGGAUGUGACUAUGAAGAGACAGAGUCAAAAAUGGGCCAGAAGUCCUAAAUCUGAGCAACCUGUGGGAUGUGCACGUAAAUAUGACCUGGGGACAUGUGGGUGUGAGGGUCUUUAUUUCAGCAAAAUAUACUAAGCUAGAGGUAUAGAUUUUGGAAUCUUCAAUAAUUAAGUGGCCAUUGUGGCCAAGUGAAAACAUUAGGACUCUAAAGAUAGAGCUGUGGCCAACACUCAUAUUUAAAGAAAGACUUGAGAAGCCCAGUGAUGCAAGAAGUGUCAAGAAAAUAUCACUAUAAAAAUGUUUGAGAAGCAUGGUACUAGUCAUCAGUGUUAAAUGUGCUUCUGGUGAGGGCUUCAGGAAGUUUCCAAUCAUGACGGAAGGUGAAGAAGAGUAGGCAUCACAUAGCAAGAGGGGAUGCAAGACAGAGAGGGAGAGAGGGAAGAGGGAGGCACCAGGAUUGCUUUCAGCAAUCAAUGUCAGGAAAACUAAUAGAGCAAGAAGUCACUCAUUGUCACAAGGACGGCACCAAGCCCUUUCUGAGGAAUCUGCCCCAUGACCCAAACACUUCCCACCAUGCCCCACCUCCAACACCGGGGAUCACAGUUCAGUGUGAGAUUUGGAGGCAAAACAUACACAAACUAUACUAGGUAAGAAUGUACGUAACUUUUUUCACAAGACCCCAGUGGGACUCCAGACAUAGACUGAGCUACUUUGGGGCUUAGCCCUCCCUGGGAGCUCUAAAAUUAGAUGUUUAGAGACACUAUUUGGCAUUUUAUAAAAGCCAUCUGCAGUGAUGUUCCUGCUAGAGGAUUAUGCACAGACAAUUGCAGUAUCAAGGGAAUGACUGAAGGUAAGAUAGAUUCAUCCAAAUGAGACGACGCCACACCAAACGGGGAAUGACCGAAGGUAAGACGGAUUCAUCUAAAUGAGACACCACCACACCAAACGGGGAAUGGCUGAAGGUAGACGGAUUCAUCCGAGUGAGACACCACCACACCGAACGGGGAAUGGCUGAAGGAAGACAAACUGAUUUGAGGAUGAGGAGGAGUCAGAAAUAAACUCAUUCAACUAAUACUUGAGUAGCUACUGUUGCCUACAGUAUGUUCAAGGUUUUGCUAGUCAUCCAUAUGAUCACUAUUAACAGCUUGGGAGACUCACAAAGGCUAGUGAAUUUCAGGAAUUAACAGCAACUGAACAGCUUCUAUAAUCCUGCAGGAAGUAACCUCUGGAUGGCACAAGGGAGGCCUUCCUAGAAUCCUGACUAGAAUUAACUACAUCUGAAAGGAAGGCACGAUUUGAAGAGGAGAGGUUUCUACCUAAGCCUUGAUGACAAGAGUUCUGAGGAUGCUGUGGGCCUGAAGAGAAAACUCAACCUAAACCAAAUGGAUAAAUCCAGCCUUAUUUUGCUACUCCAAUGUCAUCUGCACCCAUCACCUCAGAAUUCAUUUUUUUUUUAAAAAAGGCCUGAGGAAAAGAAAGAAGGGUCUCCCUCACACAGAUGGGCCAGAAUACUCGCAUGGUAUAAGGAUGCGCAAGUUUAGCACCUGGACACUACACAUUGAUGUCUGAAAUCUGGUGAUUCUAAGGCCAUGAAGAUGGCUUCUGAAUUGCCACCCUCACUGAGUGUUUAAUUUGAUGGGCAACUUGACAUGUUUUCAAAGCCCAGAGGAAUGUCAUUGCCAAGACACCACUCUCCUGACUCCACCCAGCUGAUCUCAGCUUCACAUCAUUUCAUUUGAUCUUCAUACUUCCUCAAGUUACCGAGAGACAAACUGUUUCUAGAAGAAGUAAUUUACAUUAAGGGGUUAAAUCCUGGGUAUAUUCUCAGGAGCAUGAUUACUGGGUCACACAGUCGUUCUGUUUUUAGUUUUUGUGGAACUUCCAGACUAUUUUCCGUAAUAGACAUACUAAUUUACAUUCUCACCAAUGGUGUAAAAGAAUUCUGUUUUUUCAGCUUCCUCUUCAUCACUGUUGUAUUUCAUCUUUUUCAUAAAAGCUACUUUAACAGGUGUGAAGUGAUAUCUCAUUGUGGUUUUAAUUUGCAUUUCCCUACUGAGUAGUGUGCUAAGCAUUUUUUCAUGUACCUUUUGGCCAUUUGUAUGUCUUCUUUUGAGAAGUUUCUAUUUCGGUCCUUGGCCCAUUUUUUAAUCUGUUUAUUUUUUUCUUGCUACUGAGUUGUGUGUGUGUAUAUAUAUGUGUGUAUGUGUAUACAUAUGUGUAUAUAUGUGUGUGCGUAUGUAUGUAUGUGUAUAUGUGUGUAUACAUAUGUGUAUAUGUGUGUAUACAUAUGUGUAUAUGUGUGUAUACAUAUGUGUAUAUAUGUGUGUAUAUAUGUGUAUAUAUGUGUGUAUACAUAUGUAUAUAUGUGUGUAUACAUAUAUAUGUGUAUAUACAUGUGUAUGCAUGUAUACAUAUGUGUAUGUGUGUAUACGUAUGUGUGUAUGCUUGUAUACAUAUGUGUAUACAUAUGUGUAUAUAUGUGUGUAUAGAUGUGUGUAUAUACAUAUGUGUAUAUGUGUGUAUACGUGUAUGUACAUAUGUGUAUAUAUGUGUAUGCAUACGUGUGUGUAUAUCCAUGUGUGUAUGUGUGUAUACAUAUAUGUGUGUACACAUGUGUAUAUAUGUGUGUGUAUACGUGUGUGUGUGUGUGUAUAUAUAUAUAUAUAUAUACUUUUUAAAAAAGAGAUGAUGCCUUGCUAUGUUGUCCAAGCUAGACUCUAACUCAAGCUGGGCUCCCGGGAUCCUCCUGCCUCAGUAUCCCAAGUAACUGAGACUAAAGGCACUUGGCACAGCACACUUUAACCCCUUGUAAGAGGUAUGCUUUGUUAACCUUUUCCCCAAAUUAAUAUGUCCAAGGGCUAUCUGCACUCUCAUGUUCUUUACAGUGCUAUUCACAACAGGAGAAAUAGGAACACUUUUACAUGGUUGGAGGGUAAAUUAGUUCAACCAUUGUGGAAGAUAGUGUGAAAAUUCCUCAAGGAUCUAGAACCAGAAAUACCACUUGACCCAGUGAUCCCAUUGCUGGGUAUAUACUCAAAGGAUUAUAAAUCAUUCUACUCUAAAGACUCAUGCACACUUAUGUUUAUUGUGGCACUGUUCACAAUAACAAAGACUUGGAACCAACCCAAAUGACCAUCAAUGAUAGACUGGAUAAAGAAAAUGUGGCACAUAUACACCAUGGAAUACUAUGCAGCCAUAAAAAAGGAUGAGUUCAUGUCCUUUGCAGAGACAUGGAUGAAGCUGGAAACCAUCAUUCUCAGCAAACUAACACAAGAACAGAAAACCAAACACCACAUGUUCUCACUCAUAAUUGGGAAUUGAACAAUAAGAACACAUGGACACAGGAAGGGGAACACCACACACCAGGGCCUGUUGGGGGGUGAGGGGCUAGUGGAAGGAUAGCAUUAGGAGAAAUACCUAAUGUAUGUGACAGAUUGAUGGGUGCAGCAAACCACCAUGCCACGUGUAUACCUAUGUAACAAACCUGCAUGUUCUGCACAUGUACCCCAGAACUUAAAGUAUAAAAAAAUACAGAAACUACCUAAGUGUCCACCAAUGGAUGAAUGGAUAUAGAAAAUGUAGUAUAUGUACACAAAGCAAUAUUAUUCAGCCUUGAAAAUUGUGGAACGUCCCACUGUUUGCAACAAAAUUGAUGAAUUUGAACAACAUUGUACUAAAAGAAGUAAGCUAGGCACAGAAAGACAAAUACUGGAUGAUCUUACUUAUGUGUGGAAUCUAAUAAAGUUGAACUCAUAGAACCAGGGACUAGAAUGAUGGUUACUAGAUGCCAGCCAUGGAAAGAGAGGAGAUGGAGUGUUGCUUAUCAAAAGGUACAAAGUUAUAGGUAGACAAGAGUAACAGAUUUUGAGAUUUAUUGCACAGCAAGGUUACUAUAGUAAAUAAUAAUGUAUUAAAUAUUUCAAAAUAACUAAAGGAAAAUUUCAAAUGUCUCAUCAUAAAAUUUCAAAUGUCUCCCCAUGAUAGGUUAGUGAAGUUAUGAAUGAUAAUUAGCUCAAUUUGAUCAUGCCACAUUGCUUGUGUGUGUAUGUAUAUCAUAUAUAUGUGUAUAUAUGUUUCACAUUGUACCCCAUAAAUGUAUACAGUUGUAACUUGCCAAUAAAAAUAAGUAAAUAAGUAAAAUAGAAAAUAACAAAAGAGUAAACUUUUAAGUUAUGCAUACCUAAUCAUUUUUGUUUUUACAAAUAACCAUAUUUUCAUGAAAAUAAGGAUAUUGAUUUCUCAGAUAUCUAGGACACUUUACAAUUUACUAAGCAAUGUGUUUCUAAAAUCUUAAUUAUGCUAAGAUGCUUAAAUAUUAGAAUUGGCUAUUAUAGUAUUAAUAACAGUUUGUCCAUUAGAUAUCUCAAUGAAAACUAUGUUUGUUUGUUUUCCUUACUUUCAAAUCAUGUUAUAGAGAAGCAAAAAGCUGAUAUAUUUGUUCAUUCUUCUGAAAAGCAAAUACCAAGCAGAGUGAGACUGGUGAGAAGUUUAUGGGGAGAAGAUUGUGAAAGACAAAGAGGGAAGGAGCAGGAGUAGGCAGAGAGAACCUCACAGCCAAGAAGGAGGGCUGGCACCUGUGAAAGGACAGAGGGAGGGAAUGAUUAGUGAGGAAGAGGCUUAGACAGAGUAUCUCUAAGACAGUCUUACCCAGGUCAACUGGGGUUCCCCAAACAAAAGUGGCGCACUGGAAAGCAGCUCCAGACUGGUGCACAGUAGCACCCUUAGCUAUUUCAGUUGCUGACUGGGAACCGCUGGGGAAGUGUCUGGGCUUUGUGCAAAUGCAGUGAUGGGGCCAGAGAGGAAGCACCAGGGCUCCAGUCAACUGUGCUUCUUCCAGCAGGCUCUCUUGAAGGUGAAAGAUCUCUACAUUGAGUAUUACAAAACACUGCUGAAGGAAAUCAGAGAUGACAUAAAAAAAUGAAAAAGCAUUCCAUGCUGAUGAAUACAAAAAUUCAAUAUCGUUAAAACGGCCAUACAUCUCAAACCAAUUUACAGAUUCAUUCUUGUUUAUUCCUAUCAAACUACCAAUGAGAUUUUUUUCACAGAAUUAGAAAAAAAAACUAUUCUAAAAUUCAUUUGUAACCAAAAAGCCUGAAUAUACUACAAGGAUAUAGUAACUAAAAUAGCAUAGUACUGGUACAGAAGCUGUCACAUAGACCAAUUGAACACGUUAGAGAACCCAGAAAUAAAGUCACACACUUACUAUCAUCUCAUCUUUGACAAAAUCAACAAAAACAAGCAAUGGGGAAAGGACUCCUUAUUAAACAAAUGGUGCAAGGACAACUGAUCAGUCAUAGGCAGAAGAUUGAAACUGGGCCCCUACUUUUCACCAUAUACAAAAAUCAACUCAAGAUGCUUUAAAGACUUAAAUGUAAAAUCUAAUACUAUAAAAACCCUAAAAGAAAGCCUAAGAAAUACUAUUCUGUACAAUGGUCCUGGCAGACUUCAUAAUGAAGACUCCAAAAGCAAUUCCAACAACAAAAAAUGGACACGUAAGACUUAAUUAAACUAAAGAGCUUCUGCACAGCAGAAGAAACUAUCAAUAGAGUAAAUAGACAAACUACAGAAUGGAAGAAAAUAUUCGCAAACUAUACAUAUGACAACGGUCUUAUAUCCAGAAUCUAUAAGGAACUUAAAUCAACAAGCAAAAGGAAAAAAAAAACCCGUUAGAAAGUGGGCAAAGGACAUGGACAGACACUUCUCAAAAGAGGACAUACAUACAGCCAACAAGCAUAUGAAAAAAUGCUAAAUAUCACUAAUCAGUAGGGAAAUGCACAUCAAAACCACAAUGAGAUACCAUCUCACACCAGUCAGAAUGGCUAUUAUCAAAAAGUCAAAAAAUAACAGAUGCUAGCAAGGUUGUGGAGUUACGAGAAAACGUAUACACCGCUGAUGGGAGUAUAAAUUAGUUCAGACACUGAGGAAAGCAGUUGGGAGAUUUCUCAAAGAACUGAAAACAACUACCAUUUGACCCAGCAAUCCCAUUACUGGGUAUGUACCCAAAGGAAUAUAAAUUGUUCUACUAUAAAGACACAUGCAUCCCUACAUUCCCUGCAGUAGCAUUCACAGUAGCAAAGACUCAACCUGGACAGCCAUCAACAUUGCAGUGGAAAAGGAGAAUGUGGUAUAUAUACACCAUGGAAUACUCUAGAGCCAUAAAAAAGAACAGGACUGUGUCCUUUAUGGCAACAUGGAUGGAACUGGAGGCCAUUAUCCUAAGCAAACUAAUACAGGAGCAGAAAAACAAACACUGCAUGUUUUCACUUAUAAGUGGGAGGUAAACACUGAGUACACAUGGACACAGAGAAAGGAGCAAUAAACACCAGGGCAUCAUUGAGGACUGGAAGUGGGGAGGAGGGUGAGGAUUGAAAAGCUACCUAUUGGGUACUAUGUUGAUUACCUGAGUGACAGGUACCCCAAACCUCUGUGACAUGCAACUUACCCAUGUAACAAAUCGGCACAUGUACCCCUUGAAAUUAAAAUAAAAGUUAAAAUAAAUAAAUAAGCAAACCAUUGA